AUUGAACGCUGGCGGCAGGCUUAACACAUGCAAGUCGAGCGGGGUGAUGGUGCUUGCACUAUCACUUAGCGGCGGACGGGUGAGUAAUGCUUAGGAAUCUGCCUAUUAGUGGGGGACAACAUCUCGAAAGGGAUGCUAAUACCGCAUACGUCCUACGGGAGAAAGCAGGGGAUCACUUGUGACCUUGCGCUAAUAGAUGAGCCUAAGUCGGAUUAGCUAGUUGGUGGGGUAAAGGCCUACCAAGGCGACGAUCUGUAGCGGGUCUGAGAGGAUGAUCCGCCACACUGGGACCGAGACACGGCCCAGACUCCUACGGGAGGCAGCAGUGGGGAAUAUUGGACAAUGGGCGGAAGCCUGAUCCAGCCAUGCCGCGUGUGUGAAGAAGGCCUUAUGGUUGUAAAGCACUUUAAGCGAGGAGGAGGCUACUUUAGUUAAUACCUAGAGAUAGUGGACGUUACUCGCAGAAUAAGCACCGGCUAACUCUGUGCCAGCCGCCGCAGUAA
rnacentral:rRNA from 1 species